UAGUCCAAGAGGUCACAAAGAGUCGGACAUGACUGAGUAUGAAUGCUUCAGUUACCCACUGUUCCUCCAGACUUUUCUGUGACUAGAAGCUACUUUAAGAAGCAUGGUCCCCUGUGCACAUAUGCAUAUAUUGGACUUCUCCACACUCUUCCUUCCUAAGCAAGCUCAAGAGGUCCCGAGCUGUGCAUUAUUAAGUUCUUCCAAGAGGAUCCAGAUCAGUUAUCUUUUCUGUGUCUUCCUUCAUGAUUUUUCUGGGAGACAUGUACUACUUUGUUAGAGGCCAGUGAUACAAGAAACCUAAUAACCAGCGUUAACCUACAAACGAUAGAUUCCAUCCAAAUGAAGGCCUAAGAUAUAAAUGAAAAUUCCAUGAAUACUGGAAAUACAAAUAGGUGGUAAAAGAAGUCAAGCAAUUACACAGCAAUAAUAGCAGAGCCCUAUAUUGAACAGUUAGGAUUACAUAAAUUCCAACUUUGUUCUUGGUGACUUUAACAGUUCAUGAAUAUCAAGUACAGAAACAAAUGUGCAGUGAAGCUAUUGCUUAAGAUCUUAUUUUUUCAUCCUUUGAUAUUCUUUUUGGUUUUUUUCUUUUUUUUUUUUCCAUGGCUCUUGAUACCCACAUGCCACCUGCCUGGUUAGAGCCUUGAAUUCUGACCAAGUCUGUAUGGACUUAACUCUUCUAGGAACAGCAGGUUGGUGACUCUCAGAAUCUGGAGGUGGUAGCAAGAAACACCCAUCAAAGUAUGAAACCUCAAUGGCAACACCAGAUGCAUCUAAUUAAAUAAAUUUCCAGCAUUUGCUGUGUGUGAAGCACGUUUCCCCGCCCCUUCCCACCACGUGAAUCACUGACAAGAGAAACCCCGAGCCAGCACUCACCCAGGACGACAGAUCUUCCAGCAGAGCCAAAACCUGGUUUCAGCAUCUUCCUCAAAUUAGCUCCACAGGCAGCCACUUCAGAUCAGCCAGUCAGCGGGAGAGAGGGGACUAGUUUGCAAUCCUGCUUUGGAGUGAUUUCAUCUGAAAGACAAUUCUGAAGUCGGCAUCCAGGGAAUGAGGGUAACAAGACCUUGCGGGGCAGGUGGGAGUGGGGAGAGCAUAGAGUCAGAGCUAUGUGACAAUGUGGCUCAGGGCUGGGUUCCCCCCAGCAGCCCGGGUGUUAUCUGCUGACCUUCAGAUAGGUAUUCCUCCCCACUGAAUCUCUCCUCUGGUCCAUUGUGUGUGUGUGUGUGUGUGUGUGUGUAUGAGACAAAGACUCAAGACAACCAUUUGGAGCUGCGGGUUCAGUUUGCAGCCGCAGAACACAGUGAUCCCACUCAUGGGGCUCAAAUGGAUGUCCUUGACUUUCCUGGUGUGAUUCUCAA